GACGAACGCUGGCGGCGUGCCUAAUACAUGCAAGUCGAACGCUUUUUCUUUCACCGGAGCUUGCUCCACCGAAAGAAAAAGAGUGGCGAACGGGUGAGUAACACGUGGGUAACCUGCCCAUCAGAAGGGGAUAACACUUGGAAACAGGUGCUAAUACCGUAUAACACUAUUUUCCGCAUGGAAGAAAGUUGAAAGGCGCUUUUGCGUCACUGAUGGAUGGACCCGCGGCGCAUUAGCUAGUUGGUGAGGUAACGGCUCACCAAGGCAACGAUGCAUAGCCGACCUGAGAGGGUGAUCGGCCACACUGGGACUGAGACACGGCCCAGACUCCUACGGGAGGCAGCAGUAGGGAAUCUUCGGCAAUGGACGAAAGUCUGAUCGAGCAAACGCCGCGUGAGUGAAGAAGGUUUUCGGAUUCGUAAAAACUUCUGG
rnacentral:rRNA from 1 species